rnacentral:rRNA from 1 species
ACGAACGCUGGCGGCGUGCUUAACCCAUGCCAGUCGCACGGAAAGGCCCUGCUUUUGUGGGGUGCUCGAGUGGCGAACGGGUGAGUAACACGUGAGUAACCUGCCCUUGACUUUGGGAUAACUUCAGGAAACUGGGGCUAAUACCGGAUAGGAGCUCCUGCUGCAUGGUGGGGGUUGGAAAGUUUCGGCGGUUGGGGAUGGACUCGCGGCUUAUCAGCUUGUUGGUGGGGUAGUGGCUUACCAAGGCUUUGACGGGUAGCCGGCCUGAGAGGGUGACCGGCCAAAUUGGGACUGAGAUACGGCCCAGACUCCUACGGGAGGCAGCAGUGGGGAAUAUUGCACAAUGGGCGGAAGCCUGAUGCAGCAACGCCGCGUGCGGGAUGACGGCCUUCGGGUUGUAAACCGCUUUCGCCUGUGACGAAGCGUGAGUGACGGUAAUGGGUAAAGAAGCACCGGCUAACUACGUG